GUGUGGCAUGUGCAGAUGAAGAAUGCAUUUCCCCUUUUCUGUGCGUUAGACAAAGCUUCCACUGAAUAGGUGUGUAGUCUGUAACUUGUAAUAAAAAGACAGGAUACUUUAUUAUGCCAGUGCUGUAAAUCCUUAUGAAAUUUGCUCACAUAAGGGCUUCACUG